ensembl:rRNA 5S_rRNA 5S ribosomal RNA
GUUUACAGCCGAACCACCCUGAACACUCCCAAUCUCAUCUGAUCUCAGAAGCCAAGCAGGAUCAGGGCCUGGUUAGUACUUGGAUGGGAGAAGCCUAUCGUUUUUUGUU